GUCGAGCUGGAAUGUCGGCUCUGUGAGGGGAAGCACAUAGGCUUGUGUCUUUUGGUUCUAUUGGCCGGGCAUGGAGGGGUCGUUUGCAUGCUUGUAAGUUCUGUAAGUGGGAAGUGACUUACUGGCAAGUCACUUAUAGGUGGUGUUUGGGGGAGGAAAUUCACUUGUGUGUAACUUAUAGGAAAAAUUGCUAGGAAACUUCAUGGGACUGGGAGUGAGAAGUCACAUAUCUGUAAGUGAUUUAUAGCUGAAAGUCACAACUUAAAAACUUAAAGGCAUCCAAAUGACCCCUGAAGUUGGUCAUCACUGUCUUCUUUGGUUGUCCUUUGAGAGUUGUUUAACUUAUGAGUUUCGACUCUGUCAAACUUUUUGCAGGGUUUCAUAAUGCAGGAUAUACUUCCUGAGGAGCUCCAAACUGCUACAAAAACCUUAGAGCUGCCAAUUUCCAUGCCAGCUACCCAACAUGAUUCAUAUGAUAAUGGUGAUGGAGAUGAUUUGUGGUGUGAAGAUGGUUCCUUUUAUAUUGUUUCCGAUGAUGGCUCUGGUAAAACAUCUGAUCUGGACAGGGAGUGGGAGAGGAGGCACAACCAAUUCCACACAGUAUCCUAAUGAAUUACGCUAAUCUGCAUGUCUGAACCCCUGAGUUAUUUGCAUUCGUCCAGAAGAGGCUUGCUAAUUCUACUGACACUUCUACUAGUUCGCACACAUGGCAUACAUGAAAACCAUGCUGUUAAUCAGUGCAUUAGCUCUGCUUCCAGAUCAUUUGAAAGAAAAGAUGGAAGGAGAACUAGAAAUGAGAGAGAGGCUUCAGAACUUGUAUGAGUCCGUGCACUCCAUUUCAACGAAAGAUGCACUACAGUGGUUUCAUGAUGACAUCUUGGGUAGCGGAUCAGAGCAACCUCAUAAUCACUUGGAGGGAAAUGCUGAUGUAGCAACCAUGCCGGAUGAUAUUUCACGAUGCAACCAGCUGGAAAGGUUUUCAAAGGAGCUUGAAUCCCUUCUUCGCGAGUGUCCUUCCAUUGAAGUGCAUCCGGCUGUGGACCGAAAGACAGUUAUAUGACUUUUUUCUUACAAGUUGGAGAUUUUUCUGCUUGUAAAUAUGGCUUCUUUUUUUUUUUUUUUUUUUCUUUUCUUUUCUUUGUGUGUGUGUGUGUAAUGUCAGUUAUUGUUAGGAUCUAUUCGUCCCAACCGCAUAUACAGAAGUUGUCAUUGUAUUUAUAAGCUAUGCUGCUUUCAUUGGAAUCUAUCAAAACAAGCUUCCUUUUGUAGAAACUGAAGCAGUGGUUUCUCAUUGACUAUAUGCAGUUUAUGUACCAAUCUUAAUUUUUAUUUGGUUUAGCUGUAAUGCUAAUCAUGAUCUGGAUUGCAUUGGUUCUCAAUAUUAAAAAAUCGCCAUUUCUUUAGUGUUUAUAUGGUCUUUGCCGCUUGAUUCUCUGUUUUUGCCUCUAUUUAUUUAUUUUUAUUUUUAGUUGUUUCAUUUUAUAGGGGGAAUUUAUUGAUGAUAUAAAUGAUUUCGCACCACAUAAGGGGGAUUGUUUCGUUUGUUGGCAGCGUAUGACGACCAUUUGCUUGCAUGAAAUCCAAAUGCCUAAAUGGGUGGUGAGCGACUAGCCCCAAAAUCAGAUUGAUUGGGCAAUCCUGAAAUCUGAUCAAUGGACUUUCUUGUCGAAUUUCAACUGACUACUUGUUUCCAUUGUCCAUUAGAUGUACUCUUCAAUUGGACCCAAAAAAAUUUUAAAAAAAUUCAUCGGAUGUCUCCCAAUUGGCCAGCUACAAUUGGUGCAUAUAUGC